rnacentral:rRNA from 1 species
UACGAAGGGGGCGAGCGUUGUUCGGAAUUACUGGGCGUAAAGGGCGCGUAGGCGGCGACGCAAGUCAGAUGUGAAAGUCCUGGGCUUAACCUGGGGACUGCAUUUGAUACUGGGUUGCUUGAAUUCGGGAGAGGAUAGCGGAAUUCCCAGUGUAGAGGUGAAAUUCGUAGAUAUUGGGAAGAACACCGGUGGCGAAGGCGGCUAUCUGGACCGACAUUGACGCUGAGGCGCGAAAGCGUGGGGAGCAAACAGG